UACCAGCACCCCGAGUGGUCGGGGCGAUUAUUGGGCCUAAAGCAUCCGUAGCCGGUCAUGCAAGUCUUCCGUUAAAUCCAGCCGCUCAACGGUUGGGCUGCGGAGGAUACUACGUGGCUAGGAGGCGGGAGAGGCAAGCGGUACUCAGUGGGUAGGGGUAAAAUCCUUUGAUCCAUGGAAGACCACCAGUGGCGAAGGCGGCUUGCCAGAACGCGCUCGACGGUGAGGGAUGAAAGCUGGGGGAGCAAACCGG
rnacentral:rRNA from 1 species